GGAAUUCUAUCUGAGAAUCAAAAGCACUGUACAAAUUAAAUAGGCAAGUUGAAGAGGAGUCAGAGCAAACCCACCCCAUAUACAUACACCUCAGCCCAGGCCCUCUGCCUGGUCUGUAUUGUGAAUGGGGGGACAUGG